AUGUGGGACAAGGUAUCAGUGAUGGAACCUCAGAGAAAACGUAUACCUCUGCAGAAGAGUGAGUUGAGACAGAGAAGGAUUAAUUACUGGCACAAUGUGCCAUUGCAGGUAAGAGUUUGAUCCAGGAAUUUUACUGUCACAUCCCAUGGAAAAAGCUUUCAAACUGCGCAUGUAGGAUAUUUUCAGAAAAUAGGGCAUUCAACAAGAUCACAGACCAGGGACUACUUAUGGGUGAUCUCCAGGUUUGAGAAAGUUGCACUGCUGAGAGAUCCUUAAUUUGCAAAAAAAUAAAAUAAAGUCUGGCUAAGAUUAAUUAGUAAAAAGCCUAGAAGACAAGCCUGUUCUGUUCCAUGUGCAAUUUCACUGAAUUCUUCGCCAAACUGAGUUUGUAAUUUUUAAAUUUCCUAUUCUUCGAAUCUGACAACUAGCAAAGGUUCAAAUCUCACUCUGUCACCCCGCUCCCCAAAGAGUCAUGCUUUCACCCCAAACUCAUUUCCUGUGACCGCCUUUCGUCCCAAAGUCCUCAAAAACAGGCAAGCCCACGCUCUCCACCGGGGAUCCUUCGCAGCUGGUUAGGACCCCAUCGCG
rnacentral:lncRNA from 1 species